ACUUAAAAAAUAAGAUAAUGCGAAAAUUUACUUUAUUAGCUUAAUUUUUUGAUAAGUUGUACAUUUAUGAUAGAAAUGGAGCCAUCAAGAAAAACGAACCCUACAAAGCGUGAUAUUGGCUGGUCUUAUGGGCAAAGACUUGGAGGAGAGGGGCAACGACACCAGUUUCAAUGUAACUUUUGCAAUAAGAUUUUCAAGGGAGGGGUAACCAGAUUGAAGCAACACUUAGCCAAAAUUCCAGUAAGGUUGCUACGUGCCCGAAUUGUCCUAGCGAGAUUCGUGUGCUGAUGAAACAGAAUCUCGCUGAAGUCAAAGAAGCGAAGGAGAUGGCUUCCAAGAAGAGGGCGGAGGUCGAUCGCCGAGCGGCAGAACCACCUUCCUAUCACUCUAGGGAGCCAGAGGAGGUUGAGGAUCUAGAUGAGGAGGAGCCAGAUAUUCAGGCGGCCAUGCAUGCAAGCCUGGAUGAUCAGUGGCAGCAUGAGGAGGUGGCCAGGCAUAGGGCUCGAUUUGGGCUCUCUGCAUAUGAGUCGGGCGGCGGUUCUGGGAGCACUAGACAAGAUCCAGGGUUCUUGAGGACAACUUCAGUCAGGGAGGGCGUCGGCAAAGAACGUGGCCGGAUUGCAUCUAUGCUGAGUAGUUUUGGUAGCCGAAAGAAGUCAUUUAGAGGAAUUCCACAAGGAGUGACAAUUCAUGAUGUAGAUCCGCAUGCUUUUCCCAGCAGAGAUUCAAGGCAGCAGAGGGUAGACACAAUGUGGAUGAAGGAUAAGAAGAAAACUAUGUGGCGAGCUAUUGGAUCCUGAUUUCACUUCAGCCAUAUCCCAGCGAAUGUGGCAGACAAUACAUACUACAGGUCUGCCAUUGCCGUCAUACAAGCUGUCGGUCCUGAUGUAGUUCCUCCAGGCCCGAAGGACAUAUACGGUGAGCUUCUUGACAACAAUAAGGAGGAGCUGGAGAAUUGGAUUGACUCGUACAAGAGCAAGUGGCCCAUAUAUAGACUAACCAUCAUGUGCAAUGGUUGGACCGGUUCGACCAGGCGGAGCAUCAUCAACUUCCUGACACACUGUGAUGCGAAGACCUUCUUCCACAAGUCGGUUGAUGCUUCGGCUUAUGUGCACAACACCACGUACAUGCUGAAACUUAUGGAGGAUGUGAUUGAUCUGGUAGGAGAGGAGAAUGUCGUGCAGAUCGUCACUGAUAAUGAGCCGCAAUAUAAGGCUGCCGGGCAGGUCUUGAUGGAGCGGCGACCACAUUUUCUGGACCCCAUGUGCUGCACAUUGUAUCGAUCUCAUGUUGAUGGACAUUGGAAAGAUCCAUAGGGUGCAACAAACGGUGGAGACAGCCCAACGCAUUACCAGGUAUAUUUAUAACCAUAACUGGGUCCUUUCACUGAUGAGAAAGUAUGCAGGAGGAGAGAUUCUGAGACCAGGAGUCACACGAUUUGCUACCAAUUUCAUCGCACUUGAUAGCAUACUCGAGAAGAGAGGAGCUCUACGUCAGAUGUUUGCCAGUCCCGAGUGGUAUGAUAGUAGAUAUUCUUAUGCCGGCACUGAAGGGAGCAAGAUAGAAGAUUUGGUGACGAGGCAGCCAUUCUGGCAGCGGGCUACUAUAAUAGUCAAGGCUAUCAAACCAUUAUAUGAAGUGCUGCGGGCCGUAGAUAGCGAGAUCUACCCCCAGAUGAGGUUUUCAUAUCAUAUGAUGGUCAAGGCAAAGAAUCAGAUUAUGGAGGCAGAUCCAGCAUAUGGCUGGUCAUACAUCAACAUCAUUGAGCAACGGUGGGGAGCGCAAAUGGGUACGGAUUUGCAUCUAGCAGGUAAGCUAAGAUAUAAUUAUAGUAACAAUUAUAGUGAUAGAUGUAAUUAUAUAAUUAUGCUAAGAUAGUCUCGUAUAUGUGCAGUAUACUACCUAAACCCCCGGUUUCAGUACAGCAUAGAUGGAAUUGGUAUGGAUGAAACACUUAUGGAUGCUUUGCGCAAUGUGAUUUACAAGAUGGAGCAUGAUCUAGAAAAAGCGGCCCGAUGUCUUGAAGAGAGCAAAUUAUUUAGAGAGGGCAGCUACAGUUUUGGCCAACGAGCGACUGUCGUCAGCAAACACAAUAUGAAUCCAGGUACGUGACACAUCAGGAAAACAUUCUCCGGUGUUACUUAGUUACUAUUAUGGAACUAUCAUAUAUGUAAUUUUUAUAAAUAUUUUUGCAGCUGAAUGGUAGGUGCAUUUUGGCGGGUCCGCGAAAAAUCUAAAGCGGAUAGCUAUCCGGAUCCUCUUCCAAACAGUCUCCUCUAGUGGCUGUGAGCGCAAUUAGUCCACCUUCGCCCUUAUUCACAGCAAACAAAGAAACCAUUUGACGCAAAAGCGCCUCAACGACCUUAUUUAUGUGCAUUACAAUUUGCGGUUGAGGCUAAAGUGCAUCCAGGAGGAAGCGGAGCUCAAGCAUACAGAUCCGAUUUACGGGACCUUCACUGUUGAUGACGAUAAUCCACUACUCGACUGGCUUGUAGGCCAACAGCAGGAGCCCGAGCUUGACGAGCCAGGAUCGCCUCCACGACCAGCUAGCUUCAUAGCCACCGAAGCUAGGGUCGAUCCAGAGCAAUAGGGUAAGCGCAAUAUUCCACGCACUUUCAGAGCUGAUCAGCCGUAGGCACAAGGGAGCCAGUCACCACAUGAUUGGUACGAGACACCCUCCGAGAGAGCUGAUCGAGAGAUGCUCGACAGACAAGGGCGACAUAGCCAGACAGAGAGGGCCA